GGCCACUGCGUGGCAUUGGGCGGGGUAAGUGGUAGGGGCCGGGAGUGGGCCUGAAUUAUUGGGCGUAAAGGGUGCGUAGGCUGGUUGUCGCUUCGGUGGUGAAAGCCUCCAGCUUAACUGGAGGCUUGCUGUCGAUACGGGCAGACUUGAGGUACGCAGGGGAGAAUGGAAUUCCUGGUGUAGCGGUGAAAUGCGCAGAUAUCAGGAGGAACACCGGUGGCGAAGGCGGUUCUCUGGGAGUUACCUGACGCUGAGGAGCGAAAGUGUGGGGAGCGAACAGGAUUAGAUACCCUAGUCGUC
rnacentral:rRNA from 1 species